CCCCUCUCUCUCCUCCAAAAUUCCUCUUCUUCCACUGCUCCCAAGGAAAAACUUUCAAAGUUCAUUUUUGCUUCAUCUUCUUCUCCAACGGCGAAGGUCUUCAUUUUUCGUACUAAGAUGAUACACUAUAAAAAAGAACAAGAUAAUCGAAGUUGACCCAUUCAAUUAUAAAAAAAAAUUAUAGAGAACGUGCAUCCGUACAUCAUCCCUACUGUUCGCGAGAUGAAGAUUAAUUACAUGAUUACAUUUAAGCCAUAUUAAAGACGAAGUGAAGAAUAACUUCCUCAGUGGAUUGAAGAAAGAUUUACAAAGGAAGAAUGUUCUUACUUCACACAGAGAUAGUGAUGACGAAAAUUUUAAGUGGUAAUAUUAUUGAAGCAAAUGUUGGUGAUGAUGAUUAUUCGAGUACCUCAAAAAUUGUAGUAGACACCUCUCUCUAUGAGAAUCUACAUAAGCGUGUUGCUAUGCUCGAGAAGGUCAUGUUGGAUAUUGCUGCCUAUAUCAAAGAAAAAAGAAUAAAGAAAAAAAUUAAAGGAUGAGCAACAACAUGAACGAGGCAACUUAAUUUAAUAAUUUAUGUAGUGGAUUAAUUUUCUGCUAUAAAUGUCAUUACACUUUAGAACAUGAUACAGUGCAUAUGGAACUUGAAGAAGAGGAGAGGAAUGAAGAGAAAAAAGUAAAAUUGAUAAGUUGACCACUAUAAUGGCAGAAGAGGAAAAAGAAGAAAAAAAGAAGGACGAACAAGUAGUAGAAUUAUGAUAAAAAAAGAAAUAGGAGAGAAAGAAGCAGAAUUAAAGAAGAUAAGGUUGAAAAAGAAAGAGAAAAAGAAGAAGCAGUAGAGGAAGAAGAUGAAAAAUAGAAGAAAAAGAAGAAACUAAAAAAAAAGUGAAGAAUUAGAGAAAAUAGAUGAAGAAGAACUGGAAGAAGAAGCAGACAAAGAGGAACAAGCUGAGAAACAAGAUAAAGAAGAAUAUAAAGAAGAAAAAGAAGAAGUAGACAAAGAAGAAGCAGAACAAGUAAAAAAGGAGGAAAAAGGAAGAAGAGAAAAAGGAGGAAGAAGAAGAUGUUGAUGAUGUGGUGAUGGGUAUCAUUGUUUUAUCAAUGAUAACAUUACUGUUGAUGAGAAAAAAUUAUUUGAAUGAUAAUGUGGUGAAAGUUUAAGACAAUUAUUUUACUUGGACAACAAAUGAAUUGAAUGAUUAUUU